rnacentral:rRNA from 1 species
AGAGUUUGAUCCUGGCUCAGGACGAACGCUGGCGGCGUGCCUAAUACUUGCAAGUCGAACGAAGCUUUCUUUCACCGAAUGCUUGCAUUCACCGAAAGAAGCUUAGUGGCGAACGGGUGAGUAACACGUAGGCAACCUACCCAAAAGAGGGGGAUAACACUUGGAAACAGGUGCUAAUACCGCAUAACCAUGAACACCGCAUGAUGUUCGUGUAAAAGACGGCUUUUGCUGUCACUUUUGGAUGGGCCUGCGGCGUAUUAACUUGUUGGUGGGGUAACGGCCUACCAAGGUGAUGAUACGUAGCCGAACUGAGAGGUUGAUCGGCCACAUUGGGACCGAGACACGGCCCAGACUCCUACGGGAGGCAGCAGUGGGGAAUAUUGCACAAUGGGGGAAACCAUGAUGCAGCGACGCCGCGUGGAGGAAGAAGGUCUUCGGAUUGUAAACUCCUGUUGUUGAGGAAGAUAAUGACGGUACUCAACAAGGAAGUGACGGCUAACUACGUGCCAGCAGCCGCGGUAAAACGUAGGUCACAAGCGUUGUCCGGAAUUACUGGGUGUAAAGGGAGCGCAGGCGGGAAGACAAGUUGGAAGUGAAAUCCAUGGGCUCAACCCAUGAACUGCUUUCAAAACUGUUUUUCUUGAGUAGUGCAGAGGUAGGCGGAAUUCCCGGUGUAGCGGUGGAAUGCGUAGAUAUCGGGAGGAACACCAGUGGCGAAGGCGGCCUACUGGGCACCAACUGACGCUGAAGCUCGAAAGUGUGGGUAGCAAACAGGAUUAGAUACCCUGGUAGUCCACACCGUAAACGAUGAUUACUAGGUGUUGGAGGAUUGACCCCUUCAGUGCCGCAGUUAACACAAUAAGUAAUCCACCUGGGGAGUACGACCGCAAGGUUGAAACUCAAAGGAAUUGACGGGGGCCCGCACAAGCAGUGGAGUAUGUGGUUUAAUUCGACGCAACGCGAAGAACCUUACCAAGUCUUGACAUCCUGCGACGGACAUAGAAAUAUGUUUUUCCUUCGGGACGCAGAGACAGGUGGUGCAUGGUUGUCGUCAGCUCGUGUCGUGAGAUGUUGGGUUAAGUCCCGCAACGAGCGCAACCCUUAUGGUCAGUUACUACGCAAGAGGACUCUGGCCAGACUGCCGUUGACAAAACGGAGGAAGGUGGGGAUGACGUCAAAUCAUCAUGCCCUUUAUGACUUGGGCUACACACGUACUACAAUGGCGUUAAACAAAGAGAAGCAAGACCGCGAGGUGGAGCAAAACUCAGAAACAACGUCCCAGUUCGGACUGCAGGCUGCAACUCGCCUGCACGAAGUCGGAAUUGCUAGUAAUCGUGGAUCAGCAUGCCACGGUGAAUACGUUCCCGGGCCUUGUACACACCGCCCGUCACACCAUGAGAGCCGGGGGGACCCGAAGUCGGUAGUCUAACCGCAAGGAGGACGCCGCCGAAGGUAAAACUGGUGAUUGGGGUGAAGUCGUAACAAGGUA